UGUCUUGUUUGCUAUGAAGUUUGAAUUGUGAAUUUAUAAUGUUUUUUGUUUUCAGAUUUACUUCUAUGAGAAAUUACUUUUGUUUUCUUUCUGAACGUAAUUGUAUAUAUGCUCAUCAUGUUAUGUGCGCAUGACAAAUGAAUAAGUUAUUAAGCUAUUGAUUGUGGAGUGCAUUGCAUUGCUUGUAGUAUUUUUCCUUCAUCUUUAUUUAUAUGCUACAUUGUGGUUGUAAUGCAUUUAUUUUCUUCUGAUAUACUGGUUUUGAUUUUGAAGUUCACCGAUGUUUGAGCUAUGUUGAAUACAUUGAUUAAGAGUAUAUUUAGAACUAAUUAAGGAAGAAGUUAUAUGAGCGAUUGAGCCUUAUUCUUACAACCCUGUAGGUUUAGUUUCCCUUAGAAAGUUAUUUAUUUUGGUAGGUUAGCUGAAUGGAGGAGUUAAUGCUACAGUUAACCGUGUACAAAUAUUUUGUGGUUUAUUUUAGGUUUAGUUUUUAAUAAGAUAUUAAGCAGCGGACGGAAUAAUUUCCUCAUGAGUAUAUCUUCCCCACAGAGCAAAGCAUAGCACAUCAAGAGAAAAAAAGGCAGGGACAAGAUUCUGCAAUUGGAGCAAGGACUUAGUUUAAAGGGGACCUUAAUGGAGCACAAGAAUCUGCAAUUGGCUGCCGUUGUUAAGCUUUCAUUUGGUUAUCUCUACUUUGACAAUGAUUUCUUCACGUUUCCUUGUCUUUUUUGUGGAUUUAGUUUUCUCGUUCCUUUCUGACUUCCUGUGUUCGUAAUUGGGGUUUUUUGUUGUGAAAUUUUCUCAGCUCUUGUUACAGCGGAUAUGAUAUACUGUGAUUUUAAAGCUGCAGCUAACCUUAAUAUUACGAACAUGCAGACCCUUGGAUUUUACGGUUCAUUUUCUUGCCUUGAAUGUACUUGUUCUGGAAAAUAGGUGUCCUUUGGCAUUGUAAUGUGUCAUUAUUUAGAAUUAUUAAACUAACUAUUAAUGUUGAGUAUUCCUUCUGGUUAGUUUUGUCUCUUGAUGUUGUGGUUUGAUUUAGUUCUUGCUGGUGUUGGUCUUAGUGGUUGCUAUACUUAUUUUAAUGAUCAUCACAAAUAAUGAAUUGUUAGUUAAUUGUCAUUCUGAUUCUUGUCUGCAAAAUAUAGAAUUCUUCAGUUGUGGUUCAUUAUUAUUUUUAUUUUUAGGAUUUGUUUGCAAAACACUAGAAUUGAAUUGUUAUUCAUGUGACACCUUAAGAUUAGUGGCCACUAGGAAGACAUCCUCCACUGAAUCUAUGACAGCCACCAAGUUCCUUUAAAUGUGUUCCCAGUGCCAUAUAUACUUUUCUAUCACUGUACAAUGUUUGAAUUGAUAUAUGAUUUGAAUUCUAAGAUUAUCUAUAUUAGAGUUAAACUCCUAUCAUGUUCAGAUACAAAAGCUCGUGUAUGAAGUCUAUGUCUCCACUAUCUAUGAAGUCUCUGUUGAAUGCAAAUUCCCCUGCUGUUGUUUAUUCUAAUUGAAUUGUGAAUUCUAAGAUUAUCUCUAUUAGCUAUUACACUUGUUUUUCUUAGUAUCCUUGUUGAGCAUGGUAUGAACGUUGCAGCUUGGUAAGUUUCAAUUGAAAAUGAUUUUCAUGACAGAAUCGUCCUUUGCAUUAAAAUUGUUGCACAAUACUGGUGAUGAGAUAAGGAAGGGAUGUCUGCAAUCUUGCAGGCAGAACAUUAUGAAGAUGAUUGCGGAUAAGCAACGACACAAGACAAAGGAGAUUAAAGAGAAGGCUUGCAUUUCUCAUGUGCAGCUUGAUGACCUUAAAGAGAAGGGGGAAAUUGUGUUGGAUGAAAACAUAAUUGUAAUCAUUUUUGUAUGUAAUUCAUAUUGUGUUGUAUAGUUCAAAUUGUGUUGCAUAGUUUAUUUUCGUCAUGCAAGAAUAAGAACAGAGAAGAGGGGAACUUUUAUAGAGUAUGUAAUUCAAACUAGUUAUUAAAACUUGUAUCUAAUAUUGGUUAAUUCAAAUA